CCAUUUCUUUUGAAGCAAGAGCAAAUUCCUUUCUCAAAUGAUUUUCAGUAGGGACACUCAGGGCAACCUUAUGUAUCCAUUUAAUGCCUGUUCGUACCAUAAUUUUUUCAAAACUUUCCACUGCCCCAGUCUAUUUGCUCUAGUACAAUCACGAGUUCAAUUCAAUAUUAAAAUCACAAUGAACUUAAUGUAUGCUUCAUACACUACCAGGAAAAGCUUGGUGUCUUCUAGAAGCAGAAGCCCAAUAAAGUCAUGCAACUCCUCUGGUAAAUAAUAGCCUCAUAAACACAUUGAACGAGUCAAUCUUCACUUUCACUCUUCAUUUCAUAAAAUUAACUGCACAGCAGGAAAGCAAUUGUCACAAUAAAUUCUUUCCGAAAAAGUGAUCCAAGAGCACAUACUUUUUGUCCAUUCUAUUUCUAAAAGGUAAAGUUUCUCAAAUACAAACGACCAUCUUUCAACAACAACAACAAUGAAAAGCAGACGAUGUGAUAAACUCACGACUUGUGAUAUUAAAUCUACAUACUUCGAACCAGAAAGGAAAAAUUAAUAGCCUAGGGUUAAAAAUAUUUAUAAAAUAUUUCGAAUCAUGCCUUGUUCCAAGGACUGCUCAGUCUUAAUAGCUAUUUUCUCCUUAUGUAAUUGCAUAAACAUGUCUUUUCUUCGUGCGGUGCUAACUGACAUGUAGAAUUAAGAGGGAGAAAGAGUGGCAUAGCUUGAGAAGUCUCCAGAUCAAAGUCUCCAUUACAAUCACACCACAAAAGUGGCCAGGCAAGAUAUGAUCCUGAUCAGUGUUGAGUCAGACAAUUCAGAAAAAACCUCUGAUUCAGGCAGAAGUAGGAGGAGACUUUUCGUUUUCCAAAAAUAUUUAAUUAAAAGGAAUAAAGUAAUUAAAAUAAAACUUUACACAUAGACCAGAACAGAAAAUGAGAGACAGAACCCUUCCACAUAAAAGAGAGACAUAGUCCAGCAACUCGCUGCAAAGAAGCCGAAACAACAUAACAUCUCCGUUUGAUAAAGAUUCAAACGGAAACCAUCCAGUGGCCUCAAUAAAAACAUAUAUUUUCAUGAAAAACAACAUGACGAGGUACCUAUUCUAUAGAUAAUGGAGAGGGCGACAGAAAAAAGCAUGCAUAUAUAUGUAUAUAGAAAAUAAACAGCUUUUUCGACUAAAUCAUGCAUAAAGGAAGCAGAAGUAAGAAAAAUCCAUCCAACAUAGAAGUAACUCUUGCUGCUGACAAGGCCCCUCUAGGCUUGGACAGUAAUGAAUGGUAAGCUGAAGUCUUCCGGACUACCAUGCAAAUGAAGGGAAAAAAGGGUUCUGAUGAUGUUUCCUCCUUCCGUAAAGAAAUUACUUCUUCCCAAAAGAGGGCAUUCAUACUCUCCCUCGUUUAUAGAAAGAGAAUUAUUUAAGGAUCCCAAACCUGUCAUGCAGACUUUUAUAAUUGUUGCAGGCUCAUUUAUUAGCUGAUUGAACCGAAGGCCACAAAACUCAAUCUUAACUCUAGCAGGGGAGCUGUUUCUUUUGCUAUAGAAUAUGGCAAUAAAAAAUUCGAAUGUAAAUAAGUGAAAAUAAAACCAAUAAAACACAAACACGUUAUGUUGUCUAGCAGAAGUCACGAUUUUCUUCCCUCCAAAAUCCUGCUGUCAACUAUGACAAAAUCUAGACAAUGAAACUGGUGAAACAGUGAUUGAACAGGUAGCUUUCGAUAUGAUUGCACUGAUGAUCAAGAUCAAACUUUCUUCCGGAGUUCAUGAAACGGCAUACAUUAUUCAGAAACUGAGAUUAAAUUGGAUGAGCCAAUGCCUCCGUUUGAUUAUGCCUGCAGCAUUUCUGAACGUGGUACAGACUGCACAAUUGCAUCGGAUAACCUAAUCCUAAUUUUUUACACUAGAAAACCCGUACCUCCGCAAUGAUGGUAGUUAAGAACUGUGAACGAUACUGGAUACCCUGAUUAGUGGAUGUCUUGAUUGAUACAUUGAUCGCGCUGAUCAGGGAUUAUGAUAAAAUCUUCCGUGAUGUAGCAGGUCACCAAUUAACCUUUCUGGAUGAUGUCGAUGAAUAUAAGAAAGUUCCAGGCAGACAACCAACCCAAUAAACACACGUGAUGCAUUGGCACUACAAGAGAAGGCGCAAGGUCCCAUACACAUAUCAAACAAGAGGCGUAAACCGACGACAAAAAAGGGUUAACCACGAACUCCCCGCCGAGCAAUUCACCGGCAGGGGAGAUGCACGAUCGGAAAAAAACCAAAUUGGGAUGGCUCACCAGUCAGGUUGCGCAACACACGACAGGAUCAACCGGGCGCACGUCUCCUACAGGAAUCCAACCCACGGCUCACGAGUGGACGAUCCUGGGAACCCUAGAUCGCGGGAAGAGCGAGGGCCCGGAGAAGACAAGCGCCACUGCAUAGGACGACUGCGAGAAGCGGCGCCAGGGAAGGAUUCCUCGCUGCGACCAGCCGCAUCAGGAGGAAGACCCGUGCCAGCGCUGCGCUGCGAAGCCCUCUCGAUCGCCCUCCGACGAAGCUCGAGAAAAAAAACUACGAAAAACUAAGCAACUGCGGCAGCCUGGAAAACGACGUCCACUCUCGCUGCGGGUAAUCCCGCUAAACGGGUGCAAAUCCCCCAAACCAAACGUCCAAAUCAUU
rnacentral:lncRNA from 1 species